UUGUGAUUUUCCUUAGAAGACAUCGGAAGGAGAGUGGACCUGAUCAAACGAUUAUUAGGUUUAGGAGAGAAUGAAUGAAAAGUAAAAAGGGAAAGUGGAAAACUAUAGAAAUCCGUGGAAAGAACAAAGAACACAAAAGGUUGGUUCAACAUAAUUUCCCGCACAACACGCGUUCGUUCCAUUGGGAGCUCUGUUUCAUCAUCAUCAUCUCACUGCUUCUGAUUCUGAAUUCAACCACUCUCAUGGGUAUCUCAUGGAGUAGCAGAAGAAGAAACAAUUACAUCCAAAACACACCGCCUCCACUCCCACCUCCCCUUUACUAUUACCGUCCCCAAUUCAACCACCCUCCUCCUCAGCUGCCACCGCAGGGCUACUUUCAACCUUCCACAACCACUUACUCCCCCCACAACAACAACAACUAUGCUGCUCCCCCUCCCUUGGUUCCACCGCCACAGACGCCACAGCCGCCACCGCCGCCGCAGACUCAUUCCAUCUCCUUCUAUCACCCCAACCAGAGUGCCUAUACCAACUACGCCAAUUCCGCGCCCAAUCGCCAUCACUACCCACCUUCAUACCACUCUCAGCCUACCCUGUUGCCGGCCGCCACUCGCGCCUCUGCCUCCACUCCUCCACCCUAUGUCGAUCACCAGACUGCGAAGAAGAUACGAAACUAUGUUAACGUCCACAAAGACACCCUGCGCCUCGAGGUUGACCAGGAAAACCCCGAUCAUCAUCUCAUUUCCUUCGUUUUCGAUGCUGUCUACGAUGGCAGCAUUACUGUCUCCUACUUUGCCAAAGAAGAAGAAAAAUGUAGGUUUGUUCCAUUAUUUCCUGAUGCAUUUCAGCCAGUCACAAUACCCUUUCAGAAAGGAGCCGGCCAGACAUUUUCCCAGCCUUCGGGAACAGGAAUUGACCUAGGCUUCUUUGAGUUGGAUGAUCUUUCAAAGUCCUCACCUGGAGAAGAUGUGUUUCCUCUAGUAAUAUGUGCCGAAACAAGUUUGAAAACACCCUCGGAAGAUGAAACUCCGGGUGAUUCUGUUGUAGAUACAUCACCUCACAUGCAAAUAACUCAAGGUGUCUUGGAGAAAAGUAAUGGUGCUGGUUCUUUCCAUAUAAAAGUGGUAAGGCAGAUUUUGUGGAUUGAUGGUGUUAGAUAUGAGUUGAGAGAGUUAUAUGGAAUAGCAAGCUCACCUGCAGCUGAUUUUGACGACAAUGAUCCCGGGAAGGAGUGUGUCAUAUGCAUGACUGAACCAAAGGAUACAGCUGUCUUACCUUGUCGACAUAUGAUACAUAGCCCUGGAUAAUAGCAUUAUUUGUAUUUGCACGAGAUCGCUUGUGGAAGUUAAGAGAUCAUGGGAAUUAUAUUAGUCAUGCUUCAUUCGGAUUUAUAGGCCUAAAAGCGUAGGUAGUAUUUGCAUGAGAUUGCUCGGGGAAAACCGAGCUCAUUUGUAUGUGCGGUGACUGUGCAAAAGAUUUGCGACUUCAAUCCAAUAAAUGCCCUAUAUGCCGUCAGCCUAUCGAGGAACUUAUACAGAUCAAAGUAAACAAUGACAAUCAAUGAGAUUUUUCUUCUGAUGCCAAGUUGCAGGGUAUUAUCAAUAAAUUCCUUUUAAGAAAUUCCCCCUUUUUUUCAAGUUUGCAGUAAGGUAGUAUAUAUCAAUUUCUUUCUUUUUUUUUUUUUUAAAUUUAGUCAAUAAUCUGUUUAUAGUUAUUGUGAUGUGUUCAUGGGAAAAUUAGAUCUUUCGUGAUUGAAGGCGUCGUCCCGUGUCAUCUAUAUUGUACAGGCGAUCAUUUUUCUGUAGUUUGUCUUGAUGGUGUUUAUUGUCUAGAGUUAUCCAUGAAUAAGGGAGAAAUGAGAUAAUACCUUGGUUGGUCCAUUCUGAAUCUUUGAAAGUUAUUACAUAUUUAAACAUGUAUAGUGGAUGUUUGAAACUUAU